rnacentral:rRNA from 1 species
AUUGAACGCUGGCGGCAUGCUUUACACAUGCAAGUCGAACGCGAAAGGGGGCAACCCUGAGUAGAGUGGCGCACGGGUGAGUAAUGCAUCGGAACGUGUCCUGUAGCGGGGGAUAACCUAGCGAAAGCUAGGCUAAUACCGCAUACGCCCUGAGGGGGAAAGUGGGGGAUCGCAAGACCUCACACUAUAGGAGCGGCCGAUGCCGGAUUAGCUAGUUGGUGGGGUAAAAGCUCACCAAGGCGACGAUCCGUAGCUGGUCUGAGAGGAUGAUCGGGCACAGUGGGACUGAGACACGGCCCAGACUCCUACGGGAGGCAGCAGUGGGGAAUGUUGGACAAUGGGGGCAACCCUGAGCCAGCCAUGCCGCGUGAGUGAAGAAGGCCUUCGGGUUGUAAAGCUCUUUCGGCCGGGACGAAAUCGCAUGGGUGAAUAUCCUGUGUGGAUGACGGUACCGGAAUAAGAAGCACCGGCUAACUACGUGCCAGCAGCCGCCGUAA